rnacentral:lncRNA from 1 species
UAUGAAAGGAUGUGUUCACUUCUUUCUUUCUUUUUUUUUUUUUUUUUUUUUUUGGGGGACAAAGCCUUGCUCUGUCGCCAGGCUGAAGUGCAGUGGUGCUGUCUCGGCUAUCUGCAACCUCUACUUCCCGGGUUCAAGUGAUUCUCCUGCCUCAGCCUCCUGAGUAGCUGGGAUUACAGGCACAUGCCACCACACCCAGCUAAUUUUUUUUUUUUUUGUAUCUUCCAUUCUACCUGGGCCUGUUUCUUUUUGCCCAACAUCCUGAUUUUGCAUUUUUUUAAGCCAGAAACUGGGGAAAGGAGAAGCAGAUAUCAAAGACAAAAUUCAUACAAAUUUACAUAUGUACUCAGGCUAUGUCUGAACUUCCCAUUCAAUUCCAUUGGUCUGUAUAUUCAUGUACUGAGACCACCACACUCUUCUGAUUAUUGAGGUUUUAC